UCUUUAAUGGAGAGUUUGAUCCUGGCUCAGGACGAACGCUGGCGGCGUGCCUAAUACAUGCAAGUCGAGCGGGGUUAUAUUAGAAGCUUGCUUUUAACAUAA
rnacentral:rRNA from 1 species